GUCCAUAUUACCUGUCCACCUUUUUCACCUUGUUUAGUGGAAGGAGAGCACGUGAGGGUGACGAGGACAGGUGUUUCGCUCUCUUAUUGUCUCCUUCUACCUGUGGACGCCUAAGUGGAAGUAGAUUACGCGAGGGUGACAGACAGGUGUUUCGCUCUCUUAUUGUCUCCUUCUACCUGUGGACGCCUAAGUGGAAGUAGAUUACGUGAGGGUGAAGAAGACAGGUGUUUCGCUCUCUUAUUGUUUCCUUGUACCUGUGGACGCCUAAGUGGAAGUAGAUUACGUGAGGGUGACGAGGACAGGUGUUUCGCUCUCUUAUUGUCUCCUUCUACCUGUGGACGCCUAAGUAGAAGUAGAUUACGCGAGAGUGAACAAGACAAGGUGUGUCGCUCUCUUACUUUCUCCUCCUACCUGUUAAAACCUAAUUAAGUGAAAGUAGAGUAGCUAAGUGUGACAAAACCAGGUGUACCGGUUCUUCUGAGUCUUGUCCUAUCUGUGAACACCUUAAUAAGUGGAAGCAGAACACGUGAAGGCUAAAAAGACAGGUGUACCGGUCCUUCUCAGUCUCCUCUUACCUGUGAAAACCUUAGUAAGUGAAAGUACAGCACGUGGAGGGAAAGAAAUCCAGGUGUAUCGCUCUCUUUCUCCCUUCUCCUACCUGUGCAAAACCUUAAUAAGUGAAAGUACAGCACGUGAGGGUGAACAAAACUAGGUGUAUCGCUCCUCUACAACCUCCUCCUACCUGUGCACAGCUUAAUAAGUGGAAGUAGAGCACCUGAGAGUGAAGAAGACCAGGUGUAUCGCCCUCAUACCCUCUAUUUAUGCACAUAUGAUUAAGUGAAAGUAGAGCACGUGAAGGUGACGAAGACAGGUGUAUCGCUCCUCUGCAGUCUCUACCUGUGCAAACCUUAUUAGAAAGUGAAAGUGAAAGUAGAGCACGUAAGAGGAAGGUGAAUCCCUCCUCUACAGUUCCUCCUACCUUUUCGAACCUCAUCACCUUCACUGGAACCCCCUGAGCAGUCAUCAAUAAUCUAGUUCGUAAUAGAAAUCAAAAUCUUAGAACGUGAUAGUGAGAUCAAGGGCAAUAUUAUCCUUUUUGCCGUUUAUCAUUUCCGUUGUCGUUGUUACGUAGCUGUCCAGAGAGACUUCACUAUCUGUUACACUGUAUCGCAUCGCACCGUCUCAACGAAUGUACGUAAGUGUGUCAGUAGCAUCGCGUAGUUAGGUUAACGAACAUUGAAGGGGAGCGUCUCGGUGUAAGAGGUUGCCGUAAGGUGUAACGUUAGCAGCGCACAGGUGUGUAGGUGUGUUAGUAGCGUUCAUUAACCUGUCGUCCCGCCCCUUGAAUCGCCACGCACACGGACUACAAUAAGGUAUAAACUCUUAAGUACAGGCCAAUAACUACUUUAGAAGGUCACUGAAACUUCACACCUACACGGACUACACCUGAACGUACAGUCCUCACUACUGGAGAAGGCAUAAGUAAACACACACACACACACACACACACACACACACACACACACACACACACACACACACACACAGAGAUACUUGUACUUCGCAUAGGUUAACAGUCAGUUCAUCUACACUUAAACACAGCGAAUCCUCACCAUUUAAUGAACAAAGUCCUCCUCAAACACGCAUAGAGUACACUCAAGCAAACACUACACAUACAUUUAAACACAGCCAGUCCUCACCUCAUAAAUUUAAUAACACACGGAUAAGCAAACACACUUAAACGGACCGCACUCAAGCAUACUGUCCACCUACACUUAAGUAACACCAGACAUCACCACUUGUAGGGCAUAGAAAUCACAGUCACACUUACACAACCCGCUACACUUACACAUACUUCACAACCUCACUAAUUACAUGACAUAGCGAUAACCAGCCACACGAACGACCCACUAUACUUAAAACACUUCUCAACUCUACCACGUACAGGACAUAGUAAUCAACAACCACACUUACACGACCCACUAUACUUAAUACACUUCUCAACUCUACCACUUAAAGAACAAAGCAAUCAACAACCACACUUUCACGACCCGCUACACUUAAAACACUUCUCAACUCUACCACUUAAAGAACAAAGCAAUCAACAACCACACUUACACAACCCGCUACACUUAUACACUUCUCAACUCUACCACUUACAGGACAAAGCAAUCAACAACCACACUUACACGACCCGCUACACUUACACACACAUCUCAGCGCCACUUUAAGACCGCGUAUCCAGUACUCGUUAAACAAUCAAAACAUUAGCGCUUAAGUUAGUCGGUCAGUCGGUCAGAGCGCCCCGCCGGCGUCAUCCAUUAUUACCUCAUGUCGCACAGGUAACAGUUAAUUAGUAAGCUCACGUCAACUUAGCUUUAAUAAGUAGGAUUAGGUUAGAGAGGUAAACACUAACUUCCGCCCGCUUGCACGCUCACACGCUCACGCACUCACGCAACCACGCCAGCACGCAAGCAUACCCGCCAGCCAGCCAGGUAGUCACGCAAAGCAACGCACGCAAACACAUACACACUCAAACACGCACUUUCUUCCUUGAUCGUUUCGGAAAAUUAAGGAAAUAAUCAGAACUAAGAGGUAAGAAAUAAGAACUGUACAGCAUCCCGCAUUUUCUGAUCUUUCUCUCUUUUCCGCGUCAGAAUCAAACAUAAAGAACAGUACAAUAACAAUAACAACAACAACAGUAACAGGACACACACGCCCCCGCCGCCACCGCCGCCGCCUCCGCCGCCGCCGCCGUUGGUACAGAGAACAAUUAGUGGAGUUGCGAGCGUAGAGUGCACGUGCGCAAGGUACUGACACACACACACACACACACACACACACACACACACACACACACAUACACACAUACAUCUCCUCCUUCUCCUCUUCGUCCUCCUCUUCGUCCUCCUUUCACCUCAUCAGUCUUUCCCCCUCUUGCCUCUUCCUCCACCUCCUCUUGUCCCUUUGUCAUCACUCUCCUCCUUCGCAUCCUCCUCCUUCUCCUUCUUCGCUUCCUCUCCUCACUGUCCACCUGCUUUAAGGAUUGGCUCAUAAGACUGCUCAGCGCUUAGGAAACAAUCACAGCUAGAUACAUUAUAGGAGAGAGAGAGAGAGAGAGAGAGAGAGAGAGAGAGAGAGAGAGAGAGAGAGAGAGAGAGAGAGAGAGAGAGAGAGUU